ACAGCGUGUCUUUCACAGGGGGUUUGUGACUUAUGGAGCACGUGUGAUGUGAGUAACCAUGGAUGUUUGUUUCUAUUCUGUGAGAUUGUGUUUUAUAUACCUGUUGUCUGAUUUAUGCUGUUUAAGCAAUUCCUUGCAUUGCUAGCUGGAGAUGAGGAGGAGCAUGCUGUGUUGCUCUGUAACUACUUCCUAUCAAUGGGGAAAAGGGCGUGGCUUAUCAUAGGCAUCGCCAUUCCUGAGGGUCCUACAGCAGAACCGCUAUCUGAUCUGGAAUCCCAGCACCGGGCAGCACUACGGACAAUAUGACACAUUCCGCCCCCUACAGACCAUCGGCUGCCUGAUCAGCUCAGACAACCUUAGUAAAUUUGCACGCCAAAAAAAAUCACAAUUACCAUAUUUGACUUCAUAUGUGUGCAAAAAUACAUUUUACAAUCAAUUUAAAAUACACAGCCAGUCAAAAGUUUUGAAUAUGUAAGAAUGUUUAUGCUUUUAAAACACUCUGCUCACCAAGGCUAAAUUCAUUUGAUAAAAACUACAGUAAAAAUGGUAAUAUUGUGAAACAUUAUUGCUAUUUAAAAUAACUGUUUACUAUUUGGAUAUAUAUAGUAAAAUGUAAUUUAUUCUUGUGAUCAAAGCUGAAUUUUCAGUAGUGUAACCUACAUCUCUUAGUGUCUGCGUGCACUCUCUGGGUGUGGUUUUGUUUGGUUUUUGCGGUAUACUUGAUAAUGUCAAAUCGCAUAUCGGUUAAACAACAAUUACAAUAUUAUCGUAGAUGAUAUGUAUCGCACAGCCCUAUUACUGUAUUUUUGAUCAAAUAAAUGUAGCCUUGAUGAGCAGAAAAUACUUUUUCAGUCGGAGGGGCUGGUGUACAGGCGCACAGACAGAGCAGCUGCUGUUGAGUUACAAGACAGGAUAGAGAAGGUUUUGAGGGAGAAGAUCAUGGAAUGGCCGCGUCACCCCAUGCGCUGGAACCGCUACUGCAUCUCUACAUUACGUCAGUUCCUGCCACAAUUAGAGCUGAGCGGAGGACGAGAGAUGGCUGAGGAACACUGCCUCAAGCUGCAAAGCCUUCUGGGAGAAUACAGGAUAUCUGGGGUUUCCCCCGCACCUUCCUUUCUCAGAGGUUCGGCCAAUCAUGGAAGCCGUUCACAGCACAGGGGUUCAUAAGGUCCCAAACGUGGAGUUUGCCCUGGCAGUCUAUGUGCACCCGUACCCCGGUAAUGUGCUCUCCGUUUUGGUCCACAUCGCCUCCCUGGUCAGUGCACGCUAGAUCUCAGCAGAACACCAUCAGCAAUAAUCAAAAGACUUUUUUAUUUUGUUUUUGUAGUGCCUGUUAGUGUUUUAACACUAACUCUACUAGUAGUUCUCUUAUUUUUUUUAUUUUUAUUUUUUUUAAAGAAACUUAGUCUAUAAUAUUAUUUAUAAAUGUGCACACUUAAAGGGUUUAUACAUUUUAUUCUGUAUAUUUUUCAUGGUUGUACCAAAUCAAGAUGUUUGAAAUAUUUUUUUAAAUAUUUUGAUUACACAAGACUGCUAAGUUUGAUAUUAUGUUUUUUUUUUACCAGUCUUUUAGGUUGAAUCUCACAGAAUGUACCAAGAACACAUCCAGGUCAUGUUUCUCUACUAAGUCACAAAAAAAAAAAAAAAUAAGUUAUGCUAUAUAUAUAUAUACAUACAUACAUACAUACAUACAUACAGUGUCACAUAAUCCUUCAGAGAUCAUUCUAAUAUGCUGAUUUGCUGCUCAAUAAUUUCUGAUUAUUUUCUGAUUUUUAUCAAUGUUGAAAACAUUUGCUUUAUAUUUUUGUGGAAACAGUUACAUUUUCUCAGGAUCCUUUGAUAAAUAGAAAAUUCAGCAUUUAUUUAAAAUAUAAAUCUGUGACAUUGUUGAUGUAUUUUUCUGACACUUUUAAUCAAUUUAAUGCAUCUUUGCUGAAUAAAACUUAAGUUCAGGAGCAUUAUUGUUGCAAUUUCUCAAAAAUAAAAAUGUCCAAUUGUAUUGUACUGAUGAGAGAUUGCGUGCAAUUUGCUUAUUAUUGAUUUAUUUUUUUUUAUUUUUGGACAAGCAAUGUUUUGUUUUCUUUUGAUAAAGAGGUAAAAUUUCAACUCAGUAUUUGCUUGACAGUUUAGCACUUAAUUCCUUUGUAGAUAAUUUUAUAUUUUAAGUGCACACUUUCAAGCACAUUACUAAAUUAAAGUUGAUUAUUGAAGCACAUUUAAAUGCUGAAAUUGCACAUUAUGUGAUAUUAAUGCUGUAGAAUAA
rnacentral:lncRNA from 1 species